rnacentral:lncRNA from 10 species
ACACAGGUGGCCAUACCUCCAGAGAAGUACUUCAGCGGUAGAAGACUCAAGCGGCUGGUCCUCCAGAGGACCUCGAGAGGAGCAUGUUGGCAGAAAAACACACCGACAGACAUCUGCACGCCUGCAGGCCAUUGAUUGAGGGGACUAGGCGGAGUUUGGCCGGGGCUGUUGGAGGAGAGCCGGGGCCACCUAGCGGCCCAAUUCCAGGGGAAAAUCGUCUGCCUCUGGCUCCUCCAUCAGCUGAGAGCUACUUCCACUCAAUAAAACUUUGUACUCUUUCUCCAGUCCCGCAUGUGAUCCGAUUCUUCCGGUACACCAAGGCAAGAACCCGGGAUACAGAAAGCCCUCUGUCCUUGCGACAAGGUAGAGGUUCUAAUUGAGCGGACUUACACAAGACACCUAUAGACGGCAAAUUAAAAGAGCACCCUGUAACACACGCCCACUGGGGCUUCAGGAGCUGUAAACGUUCACCCCUAGACACUGCCGUGGAGUCAAGAGCCCCACAGCCUGCCCAUCUGUAUGCUCCCCUAGAAGUUUGAGCAGCGGGGCACUGAAGAAGCAAGCCACACCCACAUCGCACGCCCUGCGAGGGGGAUGACGGAACCUUUCCCGUUUCAAUAUGACCAUAGGCUCAAUUUUCCUACAUAAUUAAGAGUUUGGAAUUCGGGCAAUAUCAAGAACCACAUCUGUCCUGAAAUCAAUUAUCUCUGUUUGAAACACAAGAAAUAAGAAGACCAUUUUGAGAAGAACAGAGAGUAGCCUUAAGAAAAUCCCUGUCGCAAGCACUCUGGGAUUUGGACUCAAAUGCUAAUUAUACAAUGAGGAAAUUGAGAUACAGAAAGG